rnacentral:rRNA from 1 species
GACGAACCGUGCGAACGUUAUUCAGAAUCACUGGGCUUAAAGCGCGUGUAGGCGGGACGGCGCGUCGGUCGCUGAAAGCCCCCGGCUCAACCGGGGAAGCGGCGCCGAUACGGCCGACCUGGAGGGACGUAGGGGGGCCUGGAACUUCCGGUGGAGCGGUGAAAUGCGUUGAGAUCGGAAGGAACGCCCGUGGCGAAAGCGAGGCCCUGGACGUCUGCUGACGCUGAGACGCGAAAGCCAGGGGAGCGAACGGG